rnacentral:sRNA from 1 species
AUUUACGUCAAUUGUAUGUCACUUUGGGUUAAAGUGUUUGCUAAAUGACAUUAA